rnacentral:rRNA from 1 species
AUGAACGCUGGCGGCGUGCCUCAUACAUGCAAGUCGAGCGAACGGACGAGAAGCUUGCUUUUCUGAUGUUAGCGGCGGACGGGUGAGUAACACGUGGAUAACCUACCUAUAAGACUGGGAUAACUUCGGGAAACCGGAGCUAAUACCGGAUAAUAUUUUGAACCGCAUGGUUCAAAAGUGAAAGACGGUCUUGCUGUCACUUAUAGAUGGAUCCGCGCUGCAUUAGCUAGUUGGUAAGGUAACGGCUUACCAAGGCAACGAUGCAUAGCCGACCUGAGAGGGUGAUCGGCCACACUGGAACUGAGACACGGUCCAGACUCCUACGGGAGGCAGCAGUAGGGAAUCUUCCGCAAUGGGCGAAAGCCUGGCGGAGCAACGCCGCGUGAGUGAUGAAGGUCUUCGGAUCGUAAAACUCUGUUAUUAGGGAAGAACAUAUGUGUAAGUAACUGUGCACAUCUUGACGGUACCUAAUCAGAAAGCCACGGCUAACUACGUG